AAUAGAUACCCAGGUAGUCCACGCCGUAAACGAUGAGUGCUAAGUGUUGGGGGGUUUCCGCCCCUCAGUGCUGCAGCUAACGCAUUAAGCACUCCGCCUGGGGAGUACGGUCGCAAGACUGAAACUCAAAGGAAUUGACGGGGGCCCGCACAAGCGGUGGAGCAUGUGGUUUAAUUCGAAGCAACGCGAAGAACCUUACCAGGUCUUGACAUCCCGGUGACCACUAUGGAGGCAUAGUUUCCCCUUCGGGGGCAACGGUGACAGGUGGUGCAUGGUUGUCGUCAGCUCGUGUCGUGAGAUGUUGGGUUAAGUCCCGCAACGAGCGCAACCCUUAUUCUUAGUUGCCAUCAUUCAGUUGGGCACUCUAAGGAGACUGCCGGUGAUAAACCGGAGGAAGGUGGGGAUGACGUCAAAUCAUCAUGCCCCUUAUGACCUGGGCUACACACGUGCUACAAUGGACGGUACAAACGGUUGCCAACCCGCGAGGGGGAGCUAAUCCGAUAAAACCGUUCUCAGUUCGGAUUGUAGGCUGCAACUCGCCUAC
rnacentral:rRNA from 1 species